UGAGGAAUAUUGGUCAAUGGGCGAAAGCCUGAACCAGCCAAGUAGCGUGCAGGAUGACGGCCCUAUGGGUUGUAAACUGCUUUUACAGGGGAAUAAAAAGGAACACGUGUGUUCUGUUGCAUGUACCCUGCGAAUAAGGACCGGCUAAUUCCGUGCCAGCAGCCGCGGUAAUACGGAAGGUCCUGGUGUUAUCCGGAUUUAUUGGGUUUAAAGGGAGCGUAGGCCGUAGAUUAAGUGUGUUGUGAAAUGUAGGCGCCCAACGUCUGCCUUGCAGCGCAAACUGGUUUACUUGAGUACGCGCAACGCAGGCGGAAUUCGUCGUGUAGCGGUGAAAUGCUUAGAUAUGACGAAGAACUCCUAUUGCGAAGGCAGCUUGCGGGAGCGUUACUGACGCUGAAGCUCGAAAGUGCGGGUAUCGAACA
rnacentral:rRNA from 1 species